rnacentral:rRNA from 1 species
UACAGAGGGUGCAAGCGUUGUUCGGAAUUAUUGGGCGUAAAGCGCGUGUAGGCGGCUUUGCAAGUCGGGUGUGAAAUCCCUCGGCUCAACCGAGGAAGUGCGCCCGAAACUGCAGAGCUUGAGUGCCGGAGAGGGUAGCGGAAUUCCCCAAGUAGAGGUGAAAUUCGUAGAUAUGGGGAGGAACACCGGUGGCGAAGGCGGCUACCUGGACGGUAACUGACGCUGAGACGCGAAAGCGUGGGUAGCAAACAGG